GUGAGUAACAAAAGUUUAGAAAGAGCUGGGCUCGUAUUCAGAAAAAACGCCUCAUCCCCCCGCCCCGCUGCACUCCCAACCCCUUUAAAAAUAGCAGAUAAUCAAGAAAGGAAACGGGUGCUUUCAUAUGGAAAUACAGAUGUCAGGUAGCAGGCAAGAGUGUGGUUAUCGUUGGACCAGGAUUCAGGAUCUGACUGAGUAGCUGACUCUUAAUCCAGUUUGUGUUGAUCACCAGGAGGAUCUGGACCUCAGUAUUACCACAUCUAGAGCUAUAAUCACAUCCCUGUUAAGCCUUCCUGAGAUCACACCAAAUGUCCUUGAUGGGAAUUGUAAACAACCCUUACUUCUGGUUUCUAAUGAUAUUCCAGGAAAGGAGCCUAACUAGAGUCAGUGAUAUGCCAACUCCACCUUUGCCUUCCACCAUGUUUGGAAGCUCCCUGAGGCCUCACCAGGAGCAGAUGCUCGUCCCAUGCUUCCUAUAAGCCUGCAGAACUGUGAGCCAUAAUAAACUGUGAAUUAUAAAUUGCCUUUAUAGCAAUGCAAAUGGACCAGUACAGAUGGGAUGCUGGGAAGACAGUUGUUUCCACCUUCAGUAAAGUCCGUGGAACACAGUUGUGACUAUAUUCUAGGCCAGCCAAGAUGCUUGUACUCAGAAAGGAGUGGUCUCAGGACCAUAAGAAAGUGAAAAAAUAAAAAUAAGAAAAUAAAGAAGGGAUUGUCAAUGAAUCAGAAUUCAUCAAGGUCAAAGUCUUAGGAAAUUCCUUCAUGAGGAAGUCUAGGGGGGCUAUGGAAAUGAAAUUUUUAAACAAAUAGGUAUGUGGUGCUGGCAGGAAUAAAUUAUGGACUUAUGAAUAUAACAUAAGAUUCUUUAUUACCUGGUCUCACCCGUCUUUCCACCUCUGCCCCCCUUCUUGCCCGACUCUGUGUAUCACCCAUAAUAAACUACUUACAGCUUCCUAGUGUUAAAUUUACCCUAAAGCUGCCUCCUUCAAUAUUUUAAGUUUAACCUAAAGGUUCUUCAUACAUAGUGAACUAUAACCCAAUGAUUAAACAGAUUGUAACCUACUCUUGUACCAGUCACCAAGUUUCAGCCAAUCAGAGGUGGCCAACUGUUCAAACCAUGCUCAAAUAAGGGAAAUGUCAUGGUGUAACUAAUCCAGCUGUUUCUAUACCUUACUUCUGUUUUCUUAGGUCACUUUCCUUUUUGGAAAAGAAAGCUGGAUAAAGUAUUUAUAGAAGAUAGAGGACCUGUGGUGGCUCAUGCCUGUAAUCCAAGGUGGAAGGAUUGCUUGAGGCCAGAAGUUCAAGACCAGUCCAAGCAACAUAGCAAGGCCCCAUCUCUACAAAAAAUGAAAAUAAAAUUAGCCGAGCGUGAUGGCUCAUGCCUGUAGUUCUAGCUUCUAGAGAGGCUGAGGCAGGAGGAUUGCUUGAGUCCAGGAGUUCAAGAUUACAGUGAGCUAUGGUCACACCACUGCACUCCAGCCUGGGUGAUGGAGUGAGACUGUCUCAAUAAAAAGACAAAAAGGCUGGCCAGGGGCAGUGGUUCAUGCCUGUAAACCCAGCACUUUGGGAGGCAAAGGCAGGAGGAUUGCUUAAGCCCAGGAAUUUGAGAUCAGCCUGGACAACAUGGUCAAGGAAGCUUUUCCUGAUCCACUAACUAAGGACAAUCAAACCCUUCAUGAUCUAGAAUCUGGAGACUGUGUCUUCUGGGAAUAGUAUCAGAGAAAGACUGCCCUUACUGCCCACAUGUAGCAAAACUUUGAGACGUUGAAUUAUGGGUCCAUAAUCUCACAACUCAGAGGGGCACCUCUAGACUCUUGGAACUGUAUAUCUAUUGGAGACUUUAAGGUAAAGCUGAACAGAGAGACGUUUUUCUCCAGAAGCAGACAGCACCAUAGUCAUGGACAGCUUUCCCAAGAUCACAGAUCAAGACUUCUCUGCCGUCAUGAGACUCAUAACCUCUUAAUUUUUUCUUGCUUAUGCUUCUGUGAACAAUAGAAUUGGAAAAGGGGUGGUCCCGCGUGCACCCAUAGGGUAUACUUUUAUUUGUGGAGGAUUUUGCUGCCAACCUUAUACAUGGGCAAACUUAUGCCUUCAUGGAUGGAAGAUAAAGGGCUAAUAUGGGUUAGAAAUUUUAAUGGUACCUUUGUUUCUCCAUAAUCAUUCAGAAACAGAACACUGGUCCACUCUUGUUAACCUACAUCAUAGGUUGAAGAGAACAUUGCCAGGAGGCCUUCAUCCUUCCAGAUGGGCACCAUUUGUUGGGUCUUUUUCCGUGGUAUGAAGAAAAUGAAGCAAUGAUUAGAAAUUGGUCCCUCGGCCGGGCACAAUGGCUCAUGCCUGUAAUCCCAUCACUUUGGCAGGCCGAGGCGGGUGGAUCACCUGAGGUCAGGAGUUUGAGACCAGCCUGACCAAUGUGGUGAAACGCCAUCUCUACUAAAAAUACAAAAAUUAGCUGGGUGUGAUGGUGCACACCUGUAAUCCAGCUACUCGGGAGGCUGAGACAGGAGAAUUGCUUGAACCUGGGAGGCAGAGGUUGCAGUGAGCCAAGAUCACCCCACUGCAUUCCAGGUUGGGCAACAGAGCAAGACUCUGUCUCAAAAAAAAAAGAAGAAAGAAAGAAAUUGAUCCCUCAUAAUAGGCUGUAUAGCAGAUUCUACUGCAAAGGCUAUGGUUGCACAACAGACUUCUUUGAAUUUGCUUGCUAAACUUUUACUGGAUAAUACUGGGAUUACAGGUGUGAGCCACUGUGCCCAGCCUCUCCUGUUUAACUGUAUUCAUUCUAAUGUUUACUUACUUCUUUAAUUUGUAAAAUUGGGUCACUUAGAGUUUUUUUAGCCUAUCUUGCCAUUUAGCCACUGUUACUGAUAAUUUGGAUGGAAAAGAAAAAUAAAUUAUAUCACCUCUCAUCUUCAGUGUAUAUAUGUGUUAACUUAGUAAAUAUAGUAUUCUUUCUCGUUCCUAAUGAAAAUUUAGUUUACGUACUGAAACACUGCAAACUUUUAUAAAUAUUGUGAUGUAUUUGACCAAUACAAAGGAUCUUUUUAGAAACAGCAAACAGUUCUCAGAUUAUAGGAAUUACUCAUUUAAUGAUAGUUUCUUCUU
rnacentral:lncRNA from 1 species